GUAAUGGCUCACCAAGGCGACGAUGCGUAGCCGACCUGAGAGGGUGAUCGGCCACACUGGGAAGACACGGCCCAGACUCCUACGGGAGGCAGCAGUAGGGAAUCUUCCGCAACGAGAAAGUCUGACGGAGCAACGCCGCGUGAGUGAUGAAGGUUUUCGGAUCGUAAAGCUCUGUUGUUAGGGAAGAACAAGUGCGAGAGUAACUGCUCGCACCUUGACGGUACCUAACCAGAAAGCCACGGCUAACUACGUGCCAGCAGCCGCGGUAAUACGUAGGUGGCAAGCGUUGUCCGGAAUUAUUGGGCGUAAAGGGCUCGCAGGCGGUUUCUUAAGUCUGAUGUGAAAGCCCCCGGCUCAACCGGGGAGGGUCAUUGGAAACUGGGAAACUUGAGUGCAGAAGAGGAGAGUGGAAUUCCACGUGUAGCGGUGAAAUGCGUAGAGAUGUGGAGGAACACCAGUGGCGAAGGCGACUCUCUGGUCUGUAACUGACGCUGAGGAGCGAAAGCGUGGGGAGCGAACAGGAUUAGAUACCCUGGUAGUCCACGCCGUAAACGAUGAGUGCUAAGUGUUAGGGGGUUUCCGCCCCUUAGUGCUGCAGCUAACGCAUUAAGCACUCCGCCUGGGGAGUACGGUCGCAAGACUGAAACUCAAAGGAAUUGACGGGGGCCCGCACAAGCGGUGGAGCAUGUGGUUUAAUUCGAAGCAACGCGAAGAACCUUACCAGGUCUUGACAUCCUCUGACAACCCUAGAGAUAGGGCUUUCCCUUCGGGGACAGAGUGACAGGUGGUGCAUGGUUGUCGUCAGCUCGUGUCGUGAGAUGUUGGGUUAAGUCCCGCAACGAGCGCAACCCUUGAUCUUAGUUGCCAGCAUUCAGUUGGGCACUCUAAGGUGACUGCCGGUGACAAACCGGAGGAAGGUGGGGAGACGUCAAAUCAUCAUGCCCCUUAUGACCUGGGCUACACACGUGCUACAAUGGACAGAACAAAGGGCUGCAAGACCGCAAGGUUUAGCCAAUCCCAUAAAUCUGUUCUCAGUUCGGAUCGCAGUCUGCAACUCGACUGCGUGAAGCUGGAAUCGCUAGUAAUCGCGGAUCAGCAUGCCGCGGUGAAUACGUUCCCGGGCCUUGUACACACCGCCCGUCACACCACGAGAGUUUGCAACACCCGAAGUCGGUGAGGUAACCUUUAUGGAGCCAGCCGCCGAAGGUGGGGCAGAUGAUUGGGGUGAAGUCGUAACAAGGUAGCCGUAUCGGAAGGUGCGGCUGGAUCACCUCCUUUCUAA
rnacentral:rRNA from 2 species